rnacentral:tRNA from 1 species
UGGCUCAGGGGUUAAGAGCACUGGUUGCUCUUCCAGAGGACCUGGGUUCAAUUCCCAG